AUUGAACGCUGGCGGCAGGCCUAACACAUGCAAGUCGAACGGUAACAGGAAACAGCUUGCUGUUUCGCUGACGAGUGGCGGACGGGUGAGUAAUGUCUGGGAAACUGCCUGAUGGAGGGGGAUAACUACUGGAAACGGUAGCUAAUACCGCAUAACGUCGCAAGACCAAAGAGGGGGACCCUCGGGCCUCUUGCCAUCGGAUGUGCCCAGAUGGGAUUAGCUUGCUGGUGGGGUAACGGCUCACCAAGGCGACGAUCCCUAGCUGGUCUGAGAGGAUGACCAGCCACACUGGAACUGAGACACGGUCCAGACUCCUACGGGAGGCAGCAGUGGGGAAUAUUGCACAAUGGGCGCAAGCCUGAUGCAGCCAUGCCGCGUGUAUGAAGAAGGCCUUCGGGUUGUAAAGUACUUUCAGCGGGGAGGAAGGGAGUAAAGUUAAUACCUUUGCUCAUUGACGUUACCCGCAGAAGAAGCACCGGCUAACUCCGUG
rnacentral:rRNA from 1 species